rnacentral:misc_RNA from 1 species
AUUGGGUAAUUUGUUUGUUUGGUGGAUGCUCAUUUAUAGAACUGCAUUAGAAAUUGAUAGUUAUAAAAAUUAUAACUAUAAUAAAUAUGUAAACUUUCUGAGUUGAACGCUUAUUCAUGUUUAACAUUUUUUCUCAGGUUGCAGGAGGAGCAUUUUUAUUCAAAUUUUAACCUGCAUUUUUUUUCUCACAGGGUAUUAAACUGUGUAAUUAAGAUGUUUAGUUUAUUUAUUUAUCUAUUUUAUUGUAUUCUUAGAACUUCAUAGUGAUA